UCUAAAAUUAUUAAAAGUAGUCUCCUUUUUUCAUUUUUUCUUUUUAUCACUGUGAUUUUUGUACACUUUGUAAAAUUUCUAAUGAAAGCCGGCCCUGUAAUAUCUUUAUUUCUCUUUAUCUUCCUCCCCACCCACAAAAAAUGAACACCGGUUUUGCUUAUAAAACACUUUCUUAAGUUUACAAAUAUCAAGACGAAAUUUUGCAUCGUAAAUAUUAUUGCAAAGAAUUUUUGUGAUUAUUUUUCUCUGAAGAAAUCAUGGUUCUCGCUAGAAAAUAUAUUAUCGUCAAGCAUUUUGAUGGUGAACCUAAGGAAACGGAUUUGAAAUUAGUGGAAGAAGAAUUGCCACCGAUUGAAGAUGGAGAAUAUCUCGUUAAGGCUGAGUGGCUUUCAGUGGACCCGUAUAUGAGAGUUUACUCGUUAAAAAUUCCAGUUGGUAGUGUAAUGAUCGGUGGUCAAGUGGGAAUAAUAAUUGAAUCAAAGAAUAAAGAAUUUCCAGUUGGACGAAGAAUAUUGGGACGUUUAGGUUGGAGGAGUCACACGAUUAUAAAACCUAAUGAUGAUGAUAAGAAAACAUUUUUAAAUCAACCACCACAAUUAAUUGAACUGGAUAAAGAUAUUUUGCCGUCUUACUAUUUAGGCAUUCUAGGAAUGCCAGGUCAUACGGCGUACUUUGGUCUUUUGGAGAUUUGUCAACCAAAAGCUGGUGAAACAAUAGUUAUUAGUGGAGCAGGCGGUGCUGUUGGUACACACGUUGGACAAAUUGCCAGAAUGAAAGGACUCAGAGUUAUUGGAAUUACGGGUUCAGAUGAAAAAUGUCAAGCUCUCCAAAAUGAACUUGCUUUUGAUUAUACAAUUAAUUAUAAAACCGCUAAUAUGAAUGAAUCAUUGAAAAAAGCUGCUCCAAAUGGAAUUGAUUGUUAUUUCGAUAAUGUUGGAGGUGAAUUGUCCACUCUUGUCAUGCAUCAUAUGAAUAAUUUUGGACGUAUCGCCGUAUGUGGAAGUAUUUCAUCCUAUAAUGCUCCAGAUCUUAAUAAUGUCACAAAAUUACCAAAAGUUGGUCUCGUUCAACGUGUUUUUAUCGAUAAACAAUUAAAAAUGGAAGGUUUACAUGUGUCACGUUGGUUUUCACGUUACAAUGAAAGUACUCGUGAAAAUUUACAAUGGUUUAAAGAAGGUAAAUUAAAACCCAUGGAAUCUAAUACCUAUGGCUUUGAAAAUAUGUUUCAAGCAUUUCAAGGAAUGAUGCGGGGAAAUAACUUUGGCAAGGCUAUUGUUACAAUUUAAAUUAUCAUCAAUAUUUUUACCAUUUAUUCUUUUACGAACAAACAGAAAAUAUUUGAAAUAAAUAUUUACAUUUCUCGUUUCAUCAUAGACUAAAUGUCAGGUGACUUUUCGCGGGCUCAAAUGAUGACGAAUCAAGUUUCGAAAAGAAAAAAGAAAACCAUGGCGGCGGUAUUGCUGGCGAAAUUAUGUUUUCGUUGUUUAGUGCGUUUUUCCGACAGAGAAUUUGUUCGUUGAGGCAAUAA